GAAAGGCGGGCUAAUACCGAAUAACAUCUUAAAAACCUCGGUUUUAAAGAUCAAAGGAGGCCUCUACUUGUAAGCUUCUGUUUGAGGAUGAGCCCGCGUACCAUUAGCUUGUUGGUAGGGUAAUGGCCUACCAAGGCUACGAUGGUUAGCUGGUCUGAGAGGAUGAUCAGCCACACUGGAACUGACACACGGUCCAGACUCCUACGGGAGGCAGCAGUGAGGAAUUUUGCGCAAUGGGGGAAACCCUGACGCAGCAACGCCGCGUGAGUGAUGAAGGCUUUCGGGUCGUAAAGCUCUGUCAAGUGGGAAGAACCCACAUGGUGAUAAUACCGCCAUGUGCUGACGGUACCACUGAAGGAAGCACCGGCUAACUCCGUGCCAGCAGCCGCGGUAAUACGGGGGGUGCAAGCGUUAUUCGGAAUUACUGGGCGUAAAGAGCGCGUAGGCGGUCUUUUAAGUCAGGUGUGAAAGCCCGGGGCUCAACCCCGGAAGUGCACUUGAAACUAAGGGACUUGAGUAUGGGAGAGGGAAGUGGAAUUCCUGGUGUAGCGGUGAAAUGCGUAGAUAUCAGGAGGAACAUCGGUG
rnacentral:rRNA from 1 species